GACACCUUUGUGUGUUUUUGUUUAACUUGUGGACAGAGACUUAUAGACGGGUGCAAAUUCUCUUUUGCAACCCAGAACUAAUUGUUCAGUAUGAGUUUUGAUACAUGUAAGCAGGAAUAUU